rnacentral:lncRNA from 1 species
AACAAAGACAGACGCUCAUUUGCAUCCUCAUGAGCCUUGAUAAGUUGUAUGUUGAGAGCCUUAACUUCCUCACUGGGUGAGGCAUUUGUCUUCAGCAGCCUUUCAUUUUCAUCCCUCAACUUUUGCAACACCUGCUCAUUUCCAUCGCUGGUACCAGGUCCCCUCGAAACCGCCUUCUGUAAUUCAGACCUCAGUGAAGCGAUUUCAA